rnacentral:lncRNA from 1 species
UUCUUUUGGGUUUCGGUUGGACUUAGGUAGUAUCCGGCCCAAAAUAAUAAAAAUAACGGCCCGAUGGCCUUUCUUCUCCCAAAUCAGAAACCGAAUUUUGCACUUUGGCCCCUAAUCUUUGGAGUAGUUUUCACUGCGGCCCAGAACAUUUUAAAUUCCUUUCAACUCGGUCCUUAAAUUAAUUUCACUUUGGUCCCUGAAUUUUAUCUUUCAUUUAAUUUUGACCCCUG